rnacentral:rRNA from 1 species
AACAAACGCUGGCGGCGUGCCUAAUACAUGCAAGUCGAACGGGGAAAGCUUUCGGGUGAGUACUAGUGGCGCACGGGUGAGGAACGCGUGGAUAAUCUGCCUUAGAGUGGGGGAUAACUAGUCGAAAGAUUAGCUAAUACCGCAUAAGACCACGAGAGCUGCGGCUUUUGAGGUCAAAGGUUUUUCGCUCUAAGAUGAGUCCGCGUAAGAUUAGCUAGUUGGUGAGGUAACGGCUCACCAAGGCGACGAUCUUUAACUGGUCUGAGAGGAUGAUCAGUCACACUGAAACAGAGACACGGUCCAGACUCCUACGGGAGGCAGCAGUAGGGAAUAUUGCACAAUGGAGGAAACUCUGAUGCAGCGACGCCGCGUGAGUGAUGAAGGCCUUCGGGCCGUAAAGCUCUGUCGCAGGGGAAUAACACAAUGAAGGUACCCUGUAAGAAAGGAUCGGCUAACUUCGUG